GAUUUCUGGUUAAGUAACGCUAGCCCGCCCUUGCCAGGGGUGUGCGCUGGUUAGUUGCUUGCCAUCUUUCUAGAAAGCCAGCAGCUGUCAUUCACUUGGCGGCUGUGACGCGAUCUAGAUCUUUUACUUUGAAAAAAUUAGAGUGUUUAAAGCAGGCUUACGCUAUGAAUACAUUAGCAUGGAAUAAUAAUAUAGGACUUUGGUUCUAUUUUGUUGGUUUCUAGGACUGAAGUAAUGAUUGAUAGGGAUAGUUGGGGGUGCUAGUAUUCAGCGGCCAGAGGUGAAAUUCUCGGAUUCGCUGAAGACUAACUUAUGCGAAAGCAUU
rnacentral:rRNA from 1 species